GUCUUGAUAGUUUAAAAAAAAUUUUAUAUUGUGGAUAUAAUGAUACAAUUGUUCAGGGCU
rnacentral:tRNA from 1 species